rnacentral:ncRNA from 2 species
CCUUCGCGACUUGUUUCAGGUGCUCUGUGGGCUUUGGCCUGGCAGGGUGAAACAGGGAAGCCGGUGGGCACGUCAAUCGCGUGCGAGUCCGGCGCUGCCCCCGCAACGGUAGGUGAGUCAAGGCCGCGCAUGGCCACUGGGUGAUCAGGCCCGGGAAGGCGCGCGACCCUGGGUGUUCAUGACCCCGCUCACAAGCCCGGAGACCGGCCUGUAACAGCCAACGGCA